rnacentral:rRNA from 1 species
GACGGACGCUGGCGGCGUGCCUAAUACAUGCCAGUUGAGCGCUGAAGGUUGGUACUUGUACCAACUGGAUGAGCAGCGAACGGGUGAGUAACGCGUGGGGAAUCUGCCUUUGAGCGGGGGACAACAUUUGGAAACGAAUGCUAAUACCGCAUAAAAACUUUAAACACAAGUUUUAAGUUUGAAAGAUGCAAUUGCAUCACUCAAAGAUGAUCCCGCGUUGUAUUAGCUAGUUGGUGAGGUAAAGGCUCACCAAGGCGAUGAUACAUAGCCGACCUGAGAGGGUGAUCGGCCACAUUGGGACUGAGACACGGCCCAAACUCCUACGGGAGGCAGCAGUAGGGAAUCUUCGGCAAUGGACGAAAGUCUGACCGAGCAACGCCGCGUGAGUGAAGAAGGUUUUCGGAUCGUAAAACUCUGUUGGUAGAGAAGAACGUUGGUGAGAGUGGAAAGCUCAUCAAGUGACGGUAACUACCCAGAAAGGGACGGCUAACUACGUG